rnacentral:misc_RNA from 1 species
GUGAAUCAUCGAAUCUUUGAACGCAAAUUGCACUCUCUGCUGAGAGUAUGCCUGUUUGAGGGUCAGCCUAAAAAAAUUCGACAUAGUCGCUGUUUCUCGGUGACAUUCUUCGGAAAUUGUGUCAUCUUAAACCUUUUGGCUUUAAUCUGUUUAAAAUUGUCUUUACUAUUCCACGAACUAUUCUAUGAGUUAUUUUUUACAUUAUUAAAUUAACAGUUCUUGAUUAGACGUGGCCGUUUCAUCGGUAUU